GCCGGAGCACCAGAGAAGUCCCCAGCUUCACAUACUUAACGGAUCCUAGCUUCCCAGCAAGGGCUCGGACCCAUACCCCUGCAUUGGAAGUACAGAAUCUUAACCACUGGAUUGACAGGGAAGCACCUACGUGGGGAAACCAGAGGACAUUGAAGGAAUCCUUGUAAAGAGAGGCCACGAGGAGAAAUAGAGGCUUUGGAGUAGAAGAGUCUAUGAGGAGGCAGGAAGGAAAUGAGAGACAGAGAGAGCCAGAGAGUGAGACCUAGCCAGACCCCAGUCAUUUCAAGCAACCAGCUUAGAAACCAAACAUCUGAGGGGGGCUAUCACAGAUUCUGCAACCAACACCACAUGAUGCAGAAAUGAACUUUCCCUUCUGAGUGCUAUCUGAAUUCCUGAACAACAGAAUUGUGAGGAUUAAAUAGUUGUGUGUGUG